rnacentral:pre_miRNA from 1 species
CAGGUACUCCCUUUGUCCCGAAUUACUUGUCGUAGAAAUGGAUGUAUCUAGAACUAAAAAUACGUCUAGAUAAAUCCAUUUCUGCGACAAGUAAUUUGGGACGGAGGGAUGAUUUU